UAAGACAGAGGGUGCAAACGUUGUUCGGAAUUACUGGGCGUAAAGCGUGUGUAGGCGGCCACAUAAGUCGGAUGUGAAAGCCCUGGGCUCAACCCAGGAAGUGCACUCGAUACUGUGUGGCUUGAGUACUGGAGAGGUUGGUGGAAUUCUCGGUGUAGAGGUGAAAUUCGUAGAUAUCGAGAGGAACACCGGUGGCGAAGGCGGCCAACUGGACAGAUACUGACGCUGAGACACGAAAGCGUGGGGAGCAAACAGGAUUAGAUACCCUGGUAGUCCACGCCGUAAACGAUGGGUGCUAGGUGUCACGGGCUUUGACUCCUGUGGUGCCGUAGCAAACGCAUUAAGCACCCCGCCUGGGAAGUACGGCCGCAAGGCUA
rnacentral:rRNA from 1 species